GGCCAGUCCCUCCCUGUCUGCACAGACAGUUCUCAAAUGGAAGCUAUUUCCAUCUUCAAACACAAAAACUGCUGAAGCAAAUACUUAAUCAAAAAGACCUAAGCCUGGGGCCCUGUGCAGCUGCACAGAUCACAGUGCGUGUGUGCUCAGUCACUCAGUCGUGUCUGACUCUUUGCAACCCUGUGGGCUGUAGCCCACCAGGCUCCUCUGUCCAAGGGAUUUCCCAGACAAGAAUACCGGAGUGGGUUGCCGUUUCCUCCUCCAGGGGAUCUUCUGACCCAGGAGUCGAACCUGCAUCUCUUGUGUUUCCUGCAUUAGCAGGCAGGUUCUUUACCCCUGAGCCACCAGAUGAGAGACACACCCACAAAGCCAGCCCUUCUCACCUCCAGCAGCGUGCCAAAAAUUAGAAAUGUAAAAUAGGAGGUGGCAACAUACACCAUGAAAACAUCUGGAAGCAGGUGGUAGCUUUUUUCACUCAGCAACCUACGCAGUCGCAAUAAUAACAGCAAUAUUUAUGAAGUCCUGUCCUUGAACCAGAGACAAGGCUCAGACACCAACUCAUCCAACCAUCACAUCCCUGUCUUAACAUAAAAGACAGAAAACUGACCAUCAGAGAGGACAAAAUGAUUGGCUUAGAGAUGGCAUAUGAGACUCAAGUGGACCCAUGAGAUUCAAGGCCAAGACUGGAGCUGGGACCACAGGGGAAGAAAAGCACUAUUUCUGCCAGGGUUGCUGAGUCGGCAAGAAGUGAGCCUGGAGCUGCCAGGGCCAUCCCGGGUACCUGGCGAGGAGACCGGAGCUAACACGGAGGGAAGCACUGAGACAGCAGGAGUGGAAGAGCGUCACAGCGGCGAGGUUUGAGCCCCUGGACGCGGCUGCGCCUGAAGCCACUUUUGGACUUUCCAGCUUCAUGCGCCAGUGAAUUCCCCACUUUGUGAAAGCUUACUUUCAGUUGAGCUUUUCUCGCUGGAAAGCAUCCAGGCUGCCACUAGAAGGUUAAGCAACUUGCCCAAAGCCUGAAAGGCAGCAAGCAGCAGACCUAGGGUUUAGAAGCUUCUAACCAACUGCAGUCAGACCAACAUUCUAUAUUGGGGUAUUCACUGAUUUCACCUCUUUUUACUCGUUUUCUCAUCACAAAAUGGCAUCACACCAGACUUUUAGGACUGUUGGAAAAUACAAAAUGCGAGAUCAGGACCCCCCUGGCAGUCAGUGGUUAAGACUCCACACUUCCUCUGCAGGGGGUGCAGGCUCAAACGCUGGUCAGAGAACUAAGAUGCUAUGUGCCACACAGCCAAAAAAACAAUUCUUUUUUUUUUUUUUUAAGAAAAAGCCAAAAUAAACUAUUUUUAAAAAAUAAAAUGCAACAUCACAGCUAGCAUGUCUGUAACCCAUGCUGAAGCUCUCUCUACACAUCCAGUUUCCGUGCUGCGGGCCUGGGUUUUGUCCCGAGUCAGUUAUCCCAUCUCAGGGAUGGAGAUAACUCAUCUCAGUUAUCCCAUCUCAGGGAUGUGUUUGGCUGUCACCAAAUCAGCCAACUGGUCCAGAUGCCCAAACCUCUUCAGGAGAGCAGCUGUGAAUCUCAGAGGGAAGGGCCGUGUCUCUUCUUGGCUGUGUAUCCUCACUGGCAGACAGAAGGAGUUGGGGGCCCGCAAGGAUUCUAGGGGUCCGAGUCUAUGAGGUAGAAAAAAGCCCUGUUGUCUUGAUUUCUGGAACCUUCCAAGGUCUGGUGGGCCCAUCUGGGAAUGACCUGUAGCUCAAGGAAGACAACACUAAAUCAGAUCGACUUUGUCUCUUUUCUUCAUGCAGUUUACAUGCAGUGGUAGACGAGAACACAGAAAAAUGUAUGAGAUAACACCACGUGGUAACAGUAGGGAGAAAAUAUGUCCUCAAAGGCGGAUUCGGGGCACUGUUUACUCAGGGGCAUUAGAAGGGGCCUCUCUGAGAAAGCGACAUCGCAUCGAAACUACUUUGCUCUCCCCCUGAAUCCCAAGCUCCUAACACUGGUCUACCUCCGAGAAAAAAAGACUGGGAUGGAUUUUUACCAGGAAACUUGCUGACACUGCUAAGUCAGGAGUCAAUGAUCUGCCCGAGGCUUGGUAAAUACCCAUCCUUC
ensembl:lncRNA